UAACCUGGGGAAACCCAGGCUAAUACCGCAUACGUCCUACGGGAGAAAGCAGGGGAUCUUCGGACCUUGCGCUAUCGGAUGAGUCUAUGUCGGAUUAGCUUGUUGGUGAGGUAAUGGCUCACCAAGGCGACGAUCCGUAGCUGGUCUGAGAGGAUGAUCAGCCACAUCGGGACUGAGACACGGCCCGAACUCCUACGGGAGGCAGCAGUGGGGAAUAUUGGACAAUGGGCGAAAGCCUGAUCCAGCCAUGCCGCGUGUGUGAAGAAGGCCUUCGGGUUGUAAAGCACUUUCAGUGGGGAAGAAAGCCUUGGGGCUAAUACCCUCGAGGAAGGACAUCACCCACAGAAGAAGCACCGGCUAACUCCGUGCCAGCAGCCGCGGUAAUACGGAGGGUGCGAGCGUUAAUCGGAAUUACUGGGCGUAAAGCGCGCGUAGGCGGUCUGAUAAGCCGGUUGUGAAAGCCCCGGGCUCAACCUGGGAACGGCAUCCGGAACUGUCAGGCUAGAGUGCAGGAGAGGAAGGUAGAAUUCCCGGUGUAGCGGUGAAAUGCGUAGAGAUCGGGAGGAAUACCAGUGGCGAAGGCGGCCUUCUGGACUGACACUGACGCUGAGGUGCGAAAGCGUGGGUAGCAAACAGGAUUAGAUACCCUGGUAGUCCACGCCGUAAACGAUGUCGACUAGCCGUUGGGCUCCUUGAGAGCUUUGUGGCGCAGUUAACGCGAUAAGUCGACCGCCUGGGGAGUACGGCCGCAAGGUUAAAACUCAAAUGAAUUGACGGGGGCCCGCACAAGCGGUGGAGCAUGUGGUUUAAUUCGAUGCAACGCGAAGAACCUUACCUACCCUUGACAUCGUGCGAACUUUCCAGAGAUGGAUUGGUGCCUUCGGGAACGCACAGACAGGUGCUGCAUGGCUGUCGUCAGCUCGUGUUGUGAAAUGUUGGGUUAAGUCCCGUAACGAGCGCAACCCUUGUCCUUAUUUGCCAGCGAGUCAUGUCGGGAACUCUAAGGAGACUGCCGGUGACAAACCGGAGGAAGGUGGGGACGACGUCAAGUCAUCAUGGCCCUUACGGGUAGGGCUACACACGUGCUACAAUGGCCGGUACAAAGGGUUGCGAAGCCGCGAGGUGGAGCUAAUCCCGAAAAGCUGGUCUCAGUCCGGAUCGGAGUCUGCAACUCGACUCCGUGAAGUCGGAAUCGCUAGUAAUCGUGAAUCAGAAUGUCACGGUGAAUACGUUCCCG
rnacentral:rRNA from 1 species